rnacentral:rRNA from 1 species
AUACAGAGGGUGCGAGCGUUAAUCGGAAUUACUGGGCGUAAAGCGCGCGUAGGCGGCUUGGUCAGUCGGAUGUGAAAGCCCCGGGCUCAACCUGGGAAUGGCAUUCGAUACUGCCAGGCUAGAGUAUGGGAGAGGGAAGUGGAAUUUCCGGUGUAGCGGUGAAAUGCGUAGAUAUCGGAAGGAACACCAGUGGCGAAGGCGACUUCCUGGCCCAAUACUGACGCUGAGGUGCGAAAGCGUGGGGAGCGAACGGGAUUAGAAACCCCAGUAGUCC